UACGGGGGGGGCAAGCGUUGUUCGGAAUUACUGGGCGUAAAGGGCUCGUAGGUGGCCAACUAAGUCAGACGUGAAAUCCCUCGGCUUAACCGGGGAACUGCGUCUGAUACUGGAUGGCUUGAGUUUGGGAGAGGGAUGCGGAAUUCCAGGUGUAGCGGUGAAAUGCGUAGAUAUCUGGAGGAACACCGGUGGCGAAGGCGGCAUCCUGGACCAAUUCUGACGCUGAGGAGCGAAAGCCAGGGGAGCAAACGGG
rnacentral:rRNA from 1 species